rnacentral:lncRNA from 1 species
GGCCACACCUGUGGCAUAUGAAAGUUCCCAGGCUAGAGGUCGAAUCGGAGCUACAGCUAAAGGCCUAUGCCACAGCUACAGCCACACUGUAUCUAAGCCCACCUGCAACCUUGCAGCCUGCAGCAAUGCAGGAUCCUUUAACCGACUGAGCGAGACUAGGGAUCGAACUUGCAACCCCACAGAGAUUACAUCAGGUCCUUAACCUACUGAGCCACAGUGGUGACUCCUUACACUGGGGCUUUUUCACUUGCUGUUUUUUUCUGCCUAGAAUUCAUUGCUCAUAUCUUCGUGGAGCUGACUCCCUCUCUCACCUAAAAGUUCAGCUCAAAUGCACCUCCUCAGAGAGGCUGGCUCACUCAACCCAACUCUUCCCCUCCAUGCCAAUUUCUAUCUAAGCCUUGUUUUCUAUCACAAUAUUCUGUUUCACCUCCUCCAUUAAAUUUAUUGUGAUCUACUAUGUUCUCAUGUCUGUAUUUAUCAGUUUUUUUUCUGUCCUUUUGGAUGACAGUGGUCACCUUACUGAGAGCAGGGAUUCUGUACUUUUGUCCAGCUCCGUAAGCACAAUCUCUAAUACAGAAAUAGGUAUACGUAGUGGUUCAAUAAAUAUUUGUUAAAGAAUGAAUGAGUGAGUGACAGAGUGAAUUUCAACAUAAAUUUUUAGCACACGAAUUUCAGUAUUUAGAUUCAUUAAUUUGCCUAGAUAAAAGGCAUUAGGGCUAGGGGGAAUGAAGGAUACAAUAGUGAGAAAGAACUAAUGUGUAGCUUGCCCACAUAGAUCUCACAGCAUAGGAAUAAACAAACAUUCUCAAUCCAAUAGCCAAACGAGUAGGUGUAACAUUUAACUAGUAGGUGUAACAUUUAAAUUGCUGUCAGGUAGAAGAAGCUCUCAAUGAAGGAGCUGAUAAUGCGGCACUUGAAUUAGAUUGGAGGACCAGGGGAUGGUUGAUAUGAGAUUCAGGGAGCAUUCCAGACACAGGGGACAGUAUGUUCAAAGGCCCCACAGCCUGACAGAGUAGGUUGAGAGCUGGAAAACAGCCAGUGUAGCCGUUGCAGAGAGACCAAGGGAGAGCUAGUGGUGAAGUCAGGCUUGGGAGGUAGAGAGAACCUGGACCAUGUAGGACUUUAAAAGUCAUGUUAAAGGUUUUCAUCUUUAUCCCAAACACAAGGAAAAGCCAAUGACACAUGCGAAGCAGUGAGGCUGAAUGAAGGGGAGGGUGUGUGUGUGUGUGUGUGUGUGUGUGUCUGUGUGUGUGUGUGUGUGUCUGUGUGUGUGAUAUAGUCAGACACACAUUAGGAAAGAGGCCAGAGUGGUUGCUAAUAGAGUAGCUGGGAGGCUCUUGCAGUGAUCAUCAUAACUUAUAUUUGGCUGGUGCUGACAUAACAGAAACUAAAAGAAAUUAGGUGGUUUUUAAGGAAUAAGAUCCAGGGACCGAGGAGUACAAAUAAAAGAGUUAAAGUAAAAGAGAAAAAUAUUGUAAAUAAAGUUUCCAUUUUUUUGACAGAAAGAGAGAGAGAAAGGAGAAGGGAAGGAGGGAAGGAAAGACAGAGAAAGAGAGAGAGACAGCAAAGGUUCAGCAGACUAGGGGUGAAUGUGCCAAGAUAAAAGACUUUGGUUUGGAUAUGGUUAGUUUGGGGUGCCUUUGAGACGUUCAAGGUCAGCAUCAAGAAACUUUUGUAUAGCAGCUCAGAAGAGCAACUUGGCCUGAGGAAUAUGUUUGUUAAGUUAUUUGCGCAGAGCUGGCAAUUAAAGGGCAUUGAUGGGAUAGCUAGGAUUGUGUAAAUGAGCUCAGUUAGGCAGAAAUGUCCAGAGCCCAGGAGAAACAGUCCAUGGAAGAUAGCUCAGAGGACAGUGUCCCAAAUAAUGAGGGAGCAGUGUGAGACCCUGGGCAUGCUUUGGGCAUCAGAUCACAAGGGUAAUUGAUAGGUGGGAACCAUCACCAACACUUGCUCAGUUUACAAUUUUGUUACUAUCUCUCUUCAAAAUUUACACUCCCACCCCUUCCCAAAAAAUCACAUAAGGUAAUCUGGGUGGAAAAAACAGUGCAUAUGUGGUAAUUAGAUAAAGGCCGGGGAGACUAAAUUCCUUAUAUAUUUGAUAAGGCAUUAAGAAUUCCACAUUCUGUACUUCCAUUCUUUUCCAAAACCAUUUUUGGCUUUAGUAUUUAGAAAACAAACUUCACAGUUGCACAGUGCAUGUGCCAGCUAUUAACCUAUCGCCUUACAGCUCCAGAAUUUACCCUUCACCAGCAGUAGUGGGUUGGGCCCUUUAGCAUUUCUCCUUUGCAAUAGACAAUUAGCCACAGGACAGCAACGCCCAGUCCAAGCCACAUCUUCAAGCUUCCCCACAGCCUGUGGCAGAGAUGGAUCCCUAACCCACUGAGCGAGGCCAGGGAUUGAACAUGCACCCUCAUGGGACACUAUGGUGGGUUCUUAACCUGCUGAGCCACAAUGGGAACUCCUCUUUUUUUUUAAUAGAUUGUAUUGGAGUAUAGGUGGCUUACAAUGUUGUAUUAGUUUCAGGUGUACAGCAAAGUGAAUGUUAUAUAUACAUAUAUCCAUUCUUUUCUAGAUUCUUUCCUUCUUUCAAACUAUCCACACAUACUUACACCUCAAUGCCUAUCACCUGUUUCAAACUACUACUACUACUGGCUUUGAUAAACAUCUUGUCCCUGCAUAUGGCCAGAGACCCUACUUCAUGUCACAUGUCACCGACCAUAUUUCAGUUCAUGUCACAGUCUUGACCUUCCUUCUUGAGAGCUGAGGGGCUACAGUGGGAGAAGCAGGGAGAGCAGGAGACAGACACCUCUGCUCUUCCUCCCAUACUAUGCCGAGCCAUCCCCCUUCUGCUGUAGACUGAAUAUUUGUGCUCCCCCAAAUUCAUGUGCUGAAACUUCAUUCCCAACGUGCUGGUAUUUGGUGGUGAAGCCUUUGGAAGAUGAUUAGGUCCUAAGGGUGGAGCCCUCAUGAAUGGGAUGAGUUCUCUUACAAAAGAGGUUCCAGAAAUAUGUCUUACUCCCUCUACUGGGUGAGGACACACUGAACAGAUGGCUGUCCACAAACCAGGAAAUGGGCUCUCAGCAGACACUGAAUCGUCCAGCACCUUGAUCAGGGACUUCCCAGCCUUCAGAACUAGGAGGAAUAAAUUUCUGUUGUUUCUACACCAUCCAGUCUAUGGCACUAUGUGAGAGUAGCUGAAGUGCAUUAGGACACCUCUUCUGGUUGCACUUCUCUGAGGUCUUUGCAGGAGAUGGAACAAACCUAAGUAUGUCCAUUCCCUGCUUUUCUCCUGAGGCACUGAUUUUGUGUCAUCAAAGGUGGAUUGGUUAUUUACUAAGAGUAGGAAGUAUGGAAAGGUGUUUUGACCAAAUGAGCACAUAAAUGUACACUGAAUAAAUGCUUUUCUCAUAAACAGCCACAGACCCCCUUAGUUUAUCUCUAUCAGUGUUAUUAAAACACAGCUUUUUAAAGAUUCUACUGGGAAUCAGCUAUAGUCACUUAUUAGCUAUUUUCUUUUCAGGCAUUUUUUCCCCCUCUAAUAGCUGGAUAUAAAACUCAGUCUUUAUAUAUAAAUGAAGUCACAAGACAAAAAUCAUCCAUUACAACACAUUCCUGAUCACCAGUCAAGACAAAUUCUAAAUAUGGUCAGAGAAUGAUAUCUACAUUUAGUUAUCCUCCAGGCUGAAGGUCUAGAUAGAUAUUUUGCUCAAGCAAACUUUAUUUAAAACAAAGACCUUCAAAAAGUAGAUAGGUAUAAACCUUUGGUCCACAAUCAAGGACAAUGAUAAUGAAAAUGAAUUCCACGUCCUCAUCAUUCAUAUGUACUUUUCCUCAAAACUGAUUAGCCUAAGAAUAUGUAUCUCUUCACAUGUUAUAAAGAAUCAUAAGCUUUUCAGCCAACCUAAACAUCAUUAUUACAAUGUCCUGAGAAUAGAAAACUUUCAUGCACCAAUGGGAGAAAUCUAAAUAUUGGUUUCCAGGAAGUCCCCAAAGCUUCCAUUAAUAAUGAGUCAAGAUACAUUUCUUUCUUUUGGCCUUCUACAUAUUUCCUGGAAGCAAGCUGCUUGGCAUAACAAAGGUUAUUUUGUCCCCUGCUCAAAAUGUCAAAACCAUUAGGGUGAUGUGUAUUCUUUUUAAUGUAAUGAAUGUUUGCAGAUCUACCAUAUGUAGUCCUAUUUUUUUAUGAUAUCGGAUGAAACCUAUGGAUAAAAAAAUGUACAUGAUUCCUUCCAAAUUUAGUGAAUUACAUGAAAAAUGUAAUUAAAAACCUAUUGUCAAAUAAUAUUACAUGUUUAGUCCAAUCACCGUAAUUCC